rnacentral:rRNA from 1 species
UGGGGAAUAUUGGGCAAUGGGGGAAACCCUGACCCAGCAACGCCGCGUGAAGGAAGAAGGCUUUCGGGUUGUAAACUUCUUUUAUCCAGGGAGCGAAGGACGUGACGGUACCUGGAGAAAAAGCAACGGCUAACUACGUGCCAGCAGCCGCGGUAAUACGUAGGUUGCAAGCGUUGUCCGGAUUUACUGGGUGUAAAGGGCGUGUAGGCGGAGAAGCAAGUUGGGAGUGAAAUCCAUGGGCUCAACCCAUGAACUGCUCUCAAAACUGUUUCCCUUGAGUAUCGGAGAGGCAAGCGGAAUUCCUAGUGUAGCGGUGAAAUGCGUAGAUAUUAGGAGGAACACCAGUGGCGAAGGCGGCUUGCUGGACGACAACUGACGCUGAGGCGCGAAAGCGUGGGGAGCAAACAGGAUUAGAUACC